rnacentral:rRNA from 1 species
GACGAACGCUGGCGGCGUGCUUAACACAUGCAAGUCGAACGGAAAGGCCCUGCUUUUGUGGGGUGCUCGAGUGGCGAACGGGUGAGUAACACGUGAGUAACCUGCCCUUGACUUUGGGAUAACUUCAGGAAACUGGGGCUAAUACCGGAUAGGAGCUCCUGCUGCAUGGUGGGGGUUGGAAAGUUUCGGCGGGUGGGGUUGGACUCGCGGCUAAUCAGCUUGUUGGUGGGGUAGUGGCUUACCAAGGCUUUGACGGGUAGCCGGCCUGAGAGGGUGGCCGGCCUCAUUGGGACUGAGGUACGGCCCAGACUCCUACGGGAGGCAGCAGGGGGGAAUAUUGCACAGUGGGCGGAAGCCUGAUGCAGCAACGCCGCGUGCGGGAUGACGGCCUUCGGGUUGUAAACCGCUUUCGCCUGUGACGAAGCGGGAGUGACGGUAAUGGGUAAAGAAGCACCGGCUAACUACGUG